GGUGUGCUGUGUGUUGUGUAAGUGUGAAGACGUGUGUGCUGUGCUGCCUCGCGUGUACUGCUGUGUGUUGUUCUAUGUGGGUGUAGUGUGUGUGUGUGUGUGUGUGUGUGUGUGUGUGACUCUGGAAACACUGGCCAUGCGCUGGAGUACAGAAGACGUGGGUAGUGUUGUGUUGUGUUAGCUAAGGCGGGAACACAGUAGGAGUCAAGAAACAGCCUGUGGGAGUGUUUACUUCCGUGCAUCGACCAAGAGUUAAAAUCCCCGAACUUCCUGGAUGUUCACAGUAUUCCUUCAGUUCACGCUGCGGAAAAAUGCAACUUGAAGUCCACCACCUGAAGGCCGCUGAACGCCCUGACCAGAGCGGCAGCUGGGUGAAGUACUGCCGCCCCGCCGCCGCUGUCUGGGAGUGUGCUGCCUUUUGGAUCAAAUGCAGAUAACGCCAGCGGAGGAUACAGCCUCGCCCACACGUUCUCGUAUAUCCCUUGAAAGACGACCCAUACCCUGACGACACGCCCGCGCCACUGACGCCGCAGCCGCGCACCAAGUAGGGGAGGCCGGGCUAAGUUGGCAACAGUGGUAAGUUGGCACAUUUGAAGUAAUUUCAGCGGUGGUAUUCACACCAGCUAAUCACCUGGAGGGGCUUCACUCACCAACAUGCAGCCACGUUAGAAGGUCGC